rnacentral:tRNA from 1 species
UGACGUAUCGCCAAGUUAGGUAAGGCAAUAGAUUUUGAAGCUAUUAUUCAAAGGUUCGAAUCCUUUUACGUCAG